rnacentral:rRNA from 1 species
AUUGAACGCUGGCGGCAUGCUUUACACAUGCAGGUCGAACGGCAGCGAGAGAGAAGCUUGCUUCUCUUGUCGGCGAGUGGCGAACGGGUGAGUAAUACAUCGGAACGUACCCUGUAGUGGGGGAUAACUACUCGAAAGAGUAGCUAAUACCGCAUACGAUCUACGGAUGAAAGCAGGGGACCGCAAGGCCUUGCGCGGACGGAGCGGCCGAUGGCAGAUUAGGUAGUUGGUGGGAUAAAAGCUUACCAAGCCGACGAUCUGUAGCUGGUCUGAGAGGACGACCAGCCACACUGGGACUAAGACACGGCCCAGACUCCUACGGGAGGCAGCAGUGGGGAAUUUUGGACAAUGGGCGCAAGCCUGAUCCAGCCAUGCCGCGUGCAGGAUGAAGGCCCUCGGGUUGUAAACUGCUUUUGUACGGAACGAAAAGACUCUGGUUAAUACCUGGGGUCCAUGACGGUACCGUAAGAAUAAGCACCGGCUAACUACGUGCCAGCCGCCGCGGUAAUAC